rnacentral:rRNA from 1 species
AUUGAACGCUGGCGGCAGGCCUAACACAUGCAAGUCGAACGAGUGGCGGACGGGUGAGUAAUGUCUGGGAAACUGCCUGAUGGAGGGGGAUCACUACUGGAAACGGUAGAUAAUACCGCAUACCAUCAGAUGUGCCCAGAUGGGAGUAGCUAGUAGGUGGGGGAAUGGCUCACGUAGGCGACGAUCCCUAUCUGGUCUGAGAGGAUGACCAGCCACACUGGAACUGAGACACGGUCCAGACUCCGACGGGAGGCAGCAGUGGGGAUGAUUGCACAAUGGGCGCAGGCCUGAGGCAGCCAUGCCGCGUGUGGGAAGAAGGCCUUCGGGUUGUAAAGCACUUUCAGCGAGGAGGCGUUACUCGCAGAAGAAGCACCGGCUAACUCCGUGCCAGCAGCCGCGGUAAUAC